rnacentral:rRNA from 1 species
GAUGAACGCUGGCGGCGUGCCUAAUACAUGCAAGUCGAGCGAACAGACGAGGAGCUUGCUCCUUUGACGUUAGCGGCGGACGGGUGAGUAACACGUAGGUAACCUACCUAUAAGACUGGGAUAACUUCGGGAAACCGGAGCUAAUACCGGAUAAUAUUUCGAACCGCAUGGUUCGAUAGUGAAAGAUGGCUUUGCUAUCACUUAUAGAUGGACCUGCGCCGUAUUAGCUAGUUGGUAAGGUAACGGCUUACCAAGGCAACGAUACGUAGCCGACCUGAGAGGGUGAUCGGCCACACUGGAACUGAGACACGGUCCAGACUCCUACGGGAAGCAGCAGUAGGGAAUCUUCCGCAAUGGGCGAAAGCCUGACGGAGCAACGCCGCGUGAGUGAUGAAGGUCUUCGGAUCGUAAAACUCUGUUAUUAGGGAAGAACAAACGUGUAAGUAACUGUGCACGUCUUGACGGUACCUAAUCAGAAAGCCACGGCUAACUACGUG